UACGUAGGGGGCGAGCGUUGUCCGGAGUUACUGGGCGUAAAGGGCAUGCAGGCGGUCGGAGGCGUUUCGGGUGACAGCGGGUGGCUCAACUACCCGAGUGUUCGAAAGACGCUCCGACUUGAGGACGCGAGAGGGACACAGAAUUCCGGGUGGAGUGGUGAAAUGCGUAGAGAUCCGGAGGAACACCGAAGGCGAAGGCAGUGUCCUGGCGCGUAACUGACGCUGAGGUGCGAAAGCCAGGGGAG
rnacentral:rRNA from 1 species